rnacentral:rRNA from 1 species
CCUACGGGUGGCAGCAGUGGGGGAUAUUGCACAAUGGGGGGAACCCUGAUGCAGCGACGCAGCGUGGGGGAAGAAUCGCCUCGGCGCGGAAAGCUCUGUCAGCAGGGGAGUAAAUGACUGUACCUGAAGAAGAAGCCCCGGCUAACUACGUGCCAGCAGCCGCGGCAAUACGGAGGGGGCAAGCGUUAUCCGGAUUUACUGGGUGUAAAGGGGGCGCAGACGGCGUUGUAAGCCAGGAGUGAAAGUCCGGGGCCCAACCGCAGGACUGCCCUUGAAACUGGGAGGCUGGAGUGCAGGAGGGGCAGGCGGAAUUCGUGGUGUAGCGGUGAAAUGCGUAGAUAUCAGGAGGAACACCGGUGGCGAAGGCGGCCUGCUGGACUGCAACUGACGUUGAGGCCCGAAAGCGUGGGGAGCAAACAGGAUUAGAUACCCGAGUAGUC